CAUAUACAAGAUACAAUACAAUACAUCCUUGGGCAGGAUGAGCUCGUUAGCCUUCUGGCAGUCAUCCUAGGAGAAGGGCAACUCUAAUCCCAAAUCCUGGCAGAUGGACCUCACUUAGCCCUGUAA